rnacentral:lncRNA from 1 species
CACCCGAAGCUACUGAAUCGGCGCUCUGGGCACCUUAGAUGAACCCGUGCGCCCGCCGUCUGAACCGUCGAGGCGCAGCGCUAGAUGCCUCAGACCGCCCGUGGGUCACAAGUGCAAAGGGAGACGUCUGAGUGUCCCUGUUAAACAGGGCCCAUCGCAGGAGGCUUCCUCUCCACAGGAGCCGGCUUUGGUAGCAGUGGAUUGACCCAGAGGCAAGAGGAGAACUGAGGCCAGUCGGGGGCCAGGAAGGGAGGUUCCGGGAAGCCCAGGAGUUGAAGGCUGCAGUGAGCGAGACUGCACCCCUGCACUGUACCCUGGGUGACACAGCAAGACCCCAUCUCUCAAUAAAUAAAAAAUAAUAAAAUAAUAAAAUAAA